rnacentral:rRNA from 1 species
GUAGGGGCCAAACGUUUGUCCGGAUUUAUUGGGCGUAAAGGGCUCGUAGGCGGUUCAACAAGUCGGUCGUGAAAUGCCGGGGCUCAACCCCGGAACGCCGGUCGAAACUGUUGUGACUAGGGUCCGGUAGAGGUGAGCGGAAUUCUCGGUGUAGCGGUGGAAUGCGCAGAUAUCGAGAGGAACACCAGUUGCGAAGGCGGCUCACUGGGCCGGUACCGACGCUAAGGAGCGAAAGCAUGGGGAGCAAACAGGAUUAGAUACCCUGGUAGUCCAUGCUGUAAACGGUGAACACUAGGUGUGGCGGAUCUAUUGAUGUCUGCCGUACCGUAGCUAACGCGUUAAGUGUUCCGCCUGGGGAGUACGGCCGCAAGGCUA